rnacentral:rRNA from 1 species
AUGCACUUUCUUCCCCGUCUUCCACUCUUCUCCCUCCCCUCUUCUUCUUCUUCCUCUCUUCCCCAUCAUCGGCCGCACACCAUUUACCCCCGCUCAAUGCUCGCCAGCCCGCGCCAUCUUCCUUGCAGACGCAAAUGUGGUGGCUUCAUGAUUCCAGGACCUGGAAUCAUACCAGCCGAUGGUUUGAAGCACUCCUCUGGUUUGAAGGAUAGACACCUUCCUGGGAUCAAGUGCAUCCUAACUCACCUGCGUAUCACACUGAGUGGCCUAAGGAAGCAUUUCUUCCAGCGCAAUUCCAGGGUGUUCAAAAGGGGCACGUGGACGCGUCGCAAGAUACAGUCGGAGUGCAGCAUGCACGUGAUGUGGCACAAGACCGGCAAUACCUUGCCGGUGAUGGUCAACGGCCGGCAGAUGGGCAGCAAAAAGGUUCUAGUGCUGCACACCAACAAGAACUUUGACCAGCAGAGGACCAAUUGGGUGAUGCACCAGUACCACCUCGGGGACCUGGAGCAAGAGAAGGAGCAGGAGCUGUUGUACUACCUUGUCGUCCGCAAGUUGGUAUUGCUGUUAACGAUCUUUUGGUCGAGCAAGUUUCAACUGGGAUGUACACUGCCCACGCUUGGUUUCGUCUUUAACAGGCCCAGCCCAUGA